GAUGAACGCUGGCGGCGUGCCUAAUACAUGCAAGUCGAGCGAACGGACGAGAAGCUUGCUUCUCUGAUGUUAGCGGCGGACGGGUGAGUAACACGUGGAUAACCUACCUAUAAGACUGGGAUAACUUCGGGAAACCGGAGCUAAUACCGGAUGAUAUUUUGAACCGCAUGGUUCAAAAGUGAAAGACGGUCUUGCUGUCACUUAUAGAUGGAUCCGCGCUGCAUUAGCUAGUUGGUAAGGUAACGGCUUACCAAGGCAACGAUGCAUAGCCGACCUGAGAGGGUGAUCGGCCACACUGGAACUGAGACACGGUCCAGACUCCUACGGGAGGCAGCAGUAGGGAAUCUUCCGCAAUGGGCGAAAGCCUGACGGAGCAACGCCGCGUGAGUGAUGAAGGUCUUCGGAUCGUAAAACUCUGUUAUUAGGGAAGAACAUAUGUGUAAGUAACUGUGCACAUCUUGACGGUACCUAAUCAGAAAGCCACGGCUAACUACGUGCCAGCAGCCGCGGUAAUACGUAGGUGGCAAGCGUUAUCCGGAAUUAUUGGGCGUAAAGCGCGCGUAGGCGGUUUUUUAAGUCUGAUGUGAAAGCCCACGGCUCAACCGUGGAGGGUCAUUGGAAACUGGAAAACUUGAGUGCAGAAGAGGAAAGUGGAAUUCCAUGUGUAGCGGUGAAAUGCGCAGAGAUAUGGAGGAACACCAGUGGCGAAGGCGACUUUCUGGUCUGUAACUGACGCUGAUGUGCGAAAGCGUGGGGAUCAAACAGGAUUAGAUACCCUGGUAGUCCACGCCGUAAACGAUGAGUGCUAAGUGUUAGGGGGUUUCCGCCCCUUAGUGCUGCAGCUAACGCAUUAAGCACUCCGCCUGGGGAGUACGACCGCAAGGUUGAAACUCAAAGGAAUUGACGGGGACCCGCACAAGCGGUGGAGCAUGUGGUUUAAUUCGAAGCAACGCGAAGAACCUUACCAAAUCUUGACAUCCUUUGACAACUCUAGAGAUAGAGCCUUCCCCUUCGGGGGACAAAGUGACAGGUGGUGCAUGGUUGUCGUCAGCUCGUGUCGUGAGAUGUUGGGUUAAGUCCCGCAACGAGCGCAACCCUUAAGCUUAGUUGCCAUCAUUAAGUUGGGCACUCUAAGUUGACUGCCGGUGACAAACCGGAGGAAGGUGGGGAUGACGUCAAAUCAUCAUGCCCCUUAUGAUCUGGGCUACACACGUGCUACAAUGGACAAUACAAAGGGCAGCGAAACCGCGAGGUCAAGCAAAUCCCAUAAAGUUGUUCUCAGUUCGGAUUGUAGUCUGCAACUCGACUACAUGAAGCUGGAAUCGCUAGUAAUCGUAGAUCAGCAUGCUACGGUGAAUACGUUCCCGGGUCU
rnacentral:rRNA from 1 species